rnacentral:rRNA from 1 species
CCUACGGGUGGCAGCAGUAGGGAAUAUUGCUCAAUGGGGGAAACCCUGAAGCAGCAACGCCGCGUGAGGGAAGACGGCCCUACGGGUUGUAAACCUCUUUUGUCAGGGAGCAAGGUGCAGGUCGGGACCUGCUGUGAGAGUACCUGAAGAAAAAGCAUCGGCUAACUCCGUGCCAGCAGCCGCGGUAAUACGGAGGAUGCGAGCGUUAUCCGGAUUUAUUGGGUUUAAAGGGUGCGCAGGCGGAGGCACAAGUCAGCGGUAAAAUCGCGGGGCUCAACCCCGCUCCGCCGUUGAAACUGUGUCCCUUGAGUGCGCGAAGGGUAGGCGGAAUGCGUGGUGUAGCGGUGAAAUGCAUAGAUAUCACGCAGAACUCCGAUCGCGAAGGCAGCCUACCGGCGCGCAACUGACGCUCAUGCACGAAAGCGUGGGUAUCGAACAGGAUUAGAUACCCCGGUAGUC